UUGAUGAAGGGGAGCUGUGACACGCGGUCCAAGCCCGGUCGCCGGGACCGCGCCGAGCCAGUGGCGAGACCGACCCGCGAGUUG
ncrna:unclassified sequences c-di-GMP-II-GAG riboswitch